CAGUGUUUUUUAAUAUAUUACUGACCGUGAAAUAACGUACAGUUUGUGUUUCAGGAUUUUGUGUUAAUAUUGUGUAUUUUAACUUUGUUAUAUUAUUUAUUAUCUACUAUUGUAAUGAUGGAAUUUGUUAUCGUUUUGAUAUUUUGUGUGGUUCUUGUGAUUGCUGUAAUGGUAAUUGGUUCCGGAAUGGGGAAAGCUACUUCUUCGCAGCGUCAGAUGGACAUCAUUAACGUCGCUCAGAACUUAUAUGUUUUAAUCAGGAAAGGCGACUUGAAGAAAUGUGACGUUACGCAGACGACCACGUUUCUUCUCAACAUCGCAAAGUCAACUGUUCUCAAGUACUACAAGAAAGACAUUGAAGAAGUUUCAACACCAGGAAAAAAGAGGAAAAAAAGGCCACAGGAAGGAAAGUCACUUGACACAGUCGACGAUUUCACAGUAAAUGCAAUCAGGAAUGCAAUUUACAGGAUGUACGCUGAAGGUUUGAAUGUUACAGUCGACACCAUUUUGAAAGAAAUCAGGGAAAGACAAAUAGAUUAUUAUGGUGGAAGAUCAAGUCUUCAUAAAUUGUUAAAGAAGAUGGGAUUUUCAUGGACAACUGUUGAUGGACGAAAAGCUUUGAUAGAGAAUGAAAACAUAGUAUUGCAGCGAAUAGAUUUCUUGAGAAAGUAUAAAGAAGAAAAAGAAAGAGGUGCCAAUUUCAAUUUGUUGAUGAAACAUGGAUUUUCCAGAGAGGCAAGGCAUUAAUUUAUUUGAAAAUUUGUUCUGUGGUCCAAUACAAAGUAUUUCAUUUCCAUUU